GGUUUUUAUCUCAGUGGUCGAGCGCUGGCUUUGGAGGCCACAGGUCGGUGGCUCGAUUCCACCCGGGCGCA